rnacentral:rRNA from 1 species
UACCGCGUGUGUGAUGAAGUGCCUGAGGGUUGUAAAGCACUUUCAAUAGGAAGGAAUACCUAGCCGGUUAAUACCACAGGUAGACUAGACAUUACCUAUACACAGAAGCACCGGCUAACUCCGUGCCAGCAGCCGCGGUAAUACGG